UACGUAGGGUGCAAGCGUUGUCCGGAAUUAUUGGGCGUAAAGAGCUCGUAGGCGGUCUGUCGCGUCGGCUGUGAAAACUCGGGGCUCAACCCCGAGCCUGCAGUCGAUACGGGCAGACUAGAGUGCGGCAGAGGAGACUGGAAUUCCUGGUGUAGCGGUGAAAUGCGCAGAUAUCAGGAGGAGCACCGGUGGCGAAGGCGGGUCUCUGGGCCGUUACUGACGCUGAGGAGCGAAAGCGUGGGGAGCGAACAGG
rnacentral:rRNA from 1 species